GGUUGUCGUGAUGGGCGUAUGGUGGAUGCCUUGGCAGACAGUACCGAUGAAGGACGUGUGGGGCCGCGAUAGUCCUGGGGGAGCCGCCGACAUGGCUUUGAUCCCAGGGUGUCCGAAUGGGGCAACCCGCCAGCCGUCAUGGGCUGGCACCGCACUUGUGCGGGGGGUACGCAGGGAAGUGAAACAUCUCAGUACCUGCAGGAGAGGAUACUCCGUGAGUAGUGGCGAGCGAAAGCGGAUGAUGGCUAAACCGUGCGCGUGUGAUACCCGUCGGGGGUUGCGCGCAUGGUGUCGUGGGAACGCCUGUCCAACGGCCGACGCCGUUGGCUGUGGUGAUAAAUGCAUGCGUGAGGCGAACCGGGUUGGAUACCGGGCCGUAGAGGGUGAUGGCCCCGUAGCCGUAUGCGCGUGCACCAUGGAUGGUGUCUCCCGAGUAGCGCGGGACUCGUGGAAUCCCGUGUGAAUCCGCCCGGACCGUCGGGUAAGCCUGAGUAUACCUGUCUGACCGAUAGCGUACGAGUACCGUGAGGGAAAGGUGAAAAGCACCCCGGGAGGGGAGUGAAAGAGUUCCUGAAACCGUGCGCCCGCGAACCGUCGGAGCCCCCUUGGUGGGGUGACGGCGUGCCUAUCGAAAAAUGAGUCUGCGAGUCAGUGGCAUGUGGCGAGCAUAAGCCGUGUGGUGUAUGCGUAGCGAAAGCGAGUCUUAAAAGGCGUCUUUUCAGUCGCGUGUCCUGGACCCGAAGCGGGAUGAUCUAGCCCUGGUCAGGUUGAAGCGCGGGUAAGACCGCGUGGAGGACCGCACCCACUUAGGUUGAAAACUGAGGGGAUGAACUGGGGUUAGGGGUGAAAGGCCAAUCAAAUUCCGUGAUAGCUGGUUCUCUUCGAAAUGCAUUUAGGUGCAGCGUCGGUUGAUUGCGUGUGGGGGGUAGAGCUACUGGAUGCUUGCGGGCCCGUGCCGGGUACCAACAGCAACCAAACUCCGAAUACCCAUCGCGUCUAUUCCGGCAGUGAGUCGGCGGGGGAUAAGCUCCGUCGUCGAGGGGGAGACAGCCCUGACCGUCGUCUAAGGUCCCCAAGCGCGUGCUAAGUGGGAAAGGAUGUGGAGUCGCAUAGACAGCCAGGAGGUUGGCUCAGAAGCAGCCAUCCUUGAAAGAGUGCGUAACAGCUCACUGGUCUAGUGGUUCCGCGCCGACAAUGUAGCGGGGCUCAAGCACGCCACCGAAGACGCGGAUGCGGCCGUAUGGCCGUGUGGUAGGAGAGCGUCCCACACCGGGGCGAAGCGGCGGGGGAACCCGGCCGUGGACUGUGUGGGAGUGAGAAUGCAGACAUGAGUAGCGAGAGCAGGGUGAGGAUCCCUGCCGCUGGAAGACCAAGGGUUCCAGGGCCACGUUCGUCGUCCCUGGGUGAGUCGGGUCCUAAGGCGAGGCCGACAGGCGUAGUCGAAUGGAUGAACGGGUCGAUAUUCCCGUACCGGCUUUCGGACCGACCAACAGCCCGUGUGAACAAGGGCCAUCCGAUACGGUUGAUGGGGGCUUCGGCCUCCUGAUUCCGUUGCUGUUUGGCCUGGACGCGCAUGGGUUGAGCGUUUCAGGAGUGACGCGGACGGGUAGCCGGCCGGGGAGGUGGUUUUCCCUGGUCAAGCGUGUGGCCCCGCCCCCAGGCAAAUCCGGGGGCUUCAUGGGGUGAGGCGUGAUGAUGGGCGCUUUCAUGGCGUGAUAUCCGGUGAUCCCGUCGGCCGAGAAAAGCUUCGGCGCGAGGUCCGUUGCCGCCCGUACCCCAAACCGACACAGGUGGUCUGGUAGAGUAUACCGAAGCGAUCGAGCGAAUCCUGGUCAAGGAACUCGGCAAAUUGCUCCCGUGCCUUCGGCAUAAGGGAGACCCCCGGCCGUGCCGGCCCCUUGCGGGUCGUGGGCGGCUGGGGGUGGCACAGGCCAGGGGGUAGCGACUGUUUACCAAAAACACAGGUGCAUGCCAAGACGCAAGUCGCCGUAUAUGCACUGACGCCUGCCCGGUGCCGGAAGGUUAAGAGGAUCCAUCAGCGUCCCCUCGCGGGAUGCGAAGUGGUGAAUUCAAGCCCCGGUAAACGGCGGUGGUAACUAUAACCAUCCUAAGGUAGCGAAAUUCCUUGUCGGGUAAGUUCCGACCUGCACGAAUGGCGUA
rnacentral:rRNA from 1 species